rnacentral:rRNA from 1 species
UACGAAGGGGGCUAGCGUUGUUCGGAUUUACUGGGCGUAAAGCGCACGUAGGCGGAUCGUUAAGUCGGGGGUGAAAUCCUGGAGCUCAACUCCAGAACUGCCUUUGAUACUGGAGAGCUUGAGUCCGGGAGAGGUGAGUGGAACUCCGAGUGUAGAGGUGAAAUUCGUAGAUAUUCGGAAGAACACCAGUGGCGAAGGCGGCUCACUGGCCCGGUACUGACGCUGAUGUGCGAAAGCGUGGGGAGCAAACAGG